GGGGGUACUCGAGUGGCGAACGGGUGAGUAACACGUGAGUAACCUGCCCUUGACUUCGGGAUAACUUCAGGAAACUGGGGCUAAUACCGGAUAGGAAUCCUUGCUGCAUGGUGGGGGUUGGAAAGCUUCGGCGGUUUUGGAUGGACUCGCGGCUUAUCAGCUUGUUGGUGGGGUAGUGGCUUACCAAGGCUUUGACGGGUAGCCGGCCUGAGAGGGCGACCGGCCACAUUGGGACUGAGAUACGGCCCAGACUCCUACGGGAGGCAGCAGUGGGGAAUAUUGCACAAUGGGCGGAAGCCUGAUGCAGCAACGCCGCGUGCGGGAUGACGGCCUUCGGGUUGUAAACCGCUUUCAGCAGGGGCGAAGCUUGUGGUGACGGUACCUGCAGAAGAAGCACCGGCUAACUACGUGCCAGCAGCCGCGGUGAUACGUAGGGUGCGAGCGUUGUCCGGAUUUAUUGGGCGUAAAGAGCUCGUAGGUGGUUGAUUGCGUCGGAAGUGAAAACUUGGGGCUUAACCCUGAGCGUGCUUUCGAUACGGGUUGACUUGAGGAAGGUAGGGGAGAAUGGAAUUCCUGGUGGAGCGGUGGAAUGCGCAGAUAUCAGGAGGAACACCAGUGGCGAAGGCGGUUCUCUGGACCUUUCCUGACGCUGAGGAGCGAAAGCGUGGGGAGCGAACAGGCUUAGAUACCCUGGUAGUCCACGCUGUAAACGGUGGGUACUAGGUGUGGGGUCCAUUCCACGGAUUCCGUGCCGUAGCUAACGCAUUAAGUACCCCGCCUGGGGAGUACGGCCGCAAGGCUAAAACUCAAAGGAAUUGACGGGGCCCCGCACAAGCGGCGGAGCAUGCGGAUUAAUUCGAUGCAACGCGAAGAACCUUACCUGGGUUUGACAUGGACUGGGAAUGCUCAAAAAUGGGUAUGCCUCCUUGUGGGGCUGGUUCAAAGGUGGUGCAUGGCUGUCGUCAACUCUUGUCCUGAAAUGUU
rnacentral:rRNA from 1 species